CACAUUUAUACGCUUGGAUAUGAUUGGCACUAAUCGCCGGAUGACAUACAUCGCUGUUUCAUGACAGAAUUUUUUUCUGACCUAGCUCAGGUUCGUGACAUCCCCGCUUCGAACCUUCUAAGCCAUUAUAACUAAGCGGAGGAACUAGAAACACUAACGAGGUGAUCUCCCUUAGUAGUUAAUCUGGCGAGUGAAACUCGGGAAAAGCCCAGCGCUGAAUCCAUAAUCAACCUACAUUGGUUGUGGAUAUUUGUUAGAACGUAUUAUAGAUUGCCGACAAUUAUUUCCGGUUUUCGAAUAUUCGUGCACCCAAAAGUCCCCUUGAGCGUGGUAGUACUAUGGGGGCCUUGAAUAGUCCCACAAAUGUAGGUGCUAGGAUCCUGUACGGGUGUGCGAAGCGAAUUGGUAUGAUCGCUCCUUGGAGUCGGGUUGCCUUGGAUCGCAGCCCAAAGUUUCUGGAUGCGUAGAUCUCAUCUAAGGCUAAAUAUUGGCUACGAACAACCGAUAGCAAAAUCAAGUUACCGUGAGGGGAAAGUUGCAAUAGAACUUGAAGAAGAGAGUUCAAGAGGGCGUGUAAACCCGUUGAGAUUUGAAAUAACGGAUUAGUAGUUAACGGAAACUCGGCUGCAUUUCAUUCCGAUCGGCUUAAUUGGUUUCUUUCAAUAGCGUUUGCAUUCUCUCGCAUGUAAGUAGCAAGGCGUUAUCUAUAACUAUUACAGGUAAUUUGAUCGGUGUUAUUUUGCGGCUUGGUAUGCGCUGAGAGUUUUUGUGAUUCGUUAUGUUAACGGAUGUGUAAGUUGGACCAUUCUUUUCGGCGUGGAAGCCCUUCAUAUCUAUUAGGGCAUAUCGUGAUUUAUUAAAGAUUUAAACGUAUCGUCUCCGCAUUUGGUACGUCGCCUUAUGUCUACUAAUUGUUGGAUUAUAUUGAAAUAUUCGUGAUUUAGAUUGCGCAAUUAUUUUGUGGUUCAACAAUAUUACGAUAAAUGAGUGAUAUGGUACGCGUUGAUAGGAACGUAUAUCUCUGGUAAUGGUGUCGUUUUUUCAUUUGUUGUUUUGGUCUAGAUCUUUGUCCGUAAAUCUAUUUUUUUUCUGUGAAAUCGGCUUGGACCAUCUUAUUUUCCUGACGGCCCGUCUGAAACAUCCGCCCGCCUCCUCUGCAUAUGGUGUCGCGUAGUCAUUGGGUGGGUAAACCUUAAGGGCCUCUCUCCUCCGUAUAUAUGAUAAGUAAAAUGGUCACCUCCGAUGUGGCGUAUAUUGGGAUCGGAUGAGUCUUAUGAGCAAUUCGGUGCGCACCAUAGCCCCGUCGCUCAUUUGCUUUUGCAAUAGGGCGGAGGUGAGCGCAUAUGGCUGGAUCCCGUAAAGAUCGGUGAACUAUGCCUGAGCAGGAAUGCAGAGCCACGCAGGAAACUCCUAGGUUGAAGUCCGAAGCGGUUACUGACGUGCAAUAUCGAUUCGGUUCUGGACCUGUGGGUAUAGGGGCGAAAAGACUAAUUCGAACCAUCUAGUAGCUCGGUUCCUCUGUGAAGUUUUAAUAUUCCCGUACCUGGACACGGAGAAUAGCGCUCAUUGCGAGUGUUUAGCGCGGUAACGCAAACGAACUCGGUAACGUUGAAUAGAGCCCGAGCUAGAGUUCUCUUUUCUAGUUAAGGAACGAAUUCCCUGGAAUCGGUUCAGCCGGAGAUAGGGAUGUGUUUUCCGUAAAGCGCCACGGUUCCUGUGGUGUCUCGUGCGCUCUAUUCGGCCCUUGAAAAACCGAGGGAGGCUAUUUGAAUUUCGUGCCAGGCCGUACCGAUAUCCGCAGCAGGUCUCCAAGGUGAACAGCCUCUAGUCGAUAGAAUAAUGUAGGUAAGGGAAGUCGGCAAAUUAGAUCCGUAACUUCGGGAAAAGGAUUGGCUCUAAGGACUGGCCGGUCGGGCUGCAGUGUGAAGUGAGCUCGGUUUGAUCCAUGCAGUGCAACGCUCGGAAACGGGUGGCGCUCGGCUAGCGUUCGAACUGUCUUAUGGACCGCUGCAGCUGUGUACCGCGUCAAUAAUGGCGUUGGUGUUCGGCGGGCGCUAAACAGUCGACUUAGAACUGGCACGGACUCGGGGAAUCCGACUGUCUAAUUAAAACAGAGGAGACAGAUGGCCCUUGCGAGCGUUGACUGUCUCUGAUUUCUGCCCAGUGCUCUGAAUGUAAAAGUGAAGAAAUUCAACCAAGCGCGGGUUAAACGGCGGAGUAACUANNNNNNNNNNNNNNNNNNNAAAUGCCUCGUCAUCUAAUUAAUGACGCGCAUGAAUGGAUUAACGAGAUUCCCACUGUCCCUAUCUACUAUCUAGCGAAACCACAGCCAAGGGAACGGGCUUGGCGAACACAGCGGGGAAAGAAGACCCUGUUGAGCUUGACUCUAGUCCGACUCUGUGAAGAGUCAUGAGAGGUGUAGCAUAAAGUGGGAGGCUUUCGCCAACAGUGAAAUACCACUACUUUCAUCGAUUCUUUACUUAUUCGGUAAGACGAGAAUUGAGCCUAUCCGGCUCUUGAUUCUGGUGUUAAGUGCAGCCACUCGGUGGCCGUUCGACUCGCGCCGAAGACAGUGUCAGGCGGGGAGUUUGACUGGGGCGGUACAUCUGUCAAAUCGUAACGCAGGUGUCCUAAGGCUAGCUCAGAGAGGACGGAAACCUCUCGUAGAGCAAAAGGGCAAAAGCUCGCUUGAUCUUGAUUUUCAGUACGAAUACAGACCGCGAAAGCGUGGCCUAUCGAUCCUUUUGAAUUAGAAGGUCUCUAGCAAGAGGUGUCAGAAAAGUUACCACAGGGAUAACUGGCUUGUGGCAGCCAAGCGUCCAUAGCGACGUUGCUUUUUGAUCCUUCGAUGUCGGCUCUUCCUAUCAUUGCGAAGCAGAAUUCGCCAAGCGUUGGAUUGUUCACCCCCCAAUAGGGAACGUGAGCUGGUUUAGACCGUCGUGAGACAGGUUAGUUUUACCCUACUGUGACUCGUUGUUGCGAUAGUAAUCCUGCUUAGUACGAGAGGAACCGCAGGUUCAGACAUUUGGUUCAUGUGCUUGGCCGAUCGGCCAAUGGUGCGAAGCUACCAUCUGAGGGAUUAUGACUGAACGCCUCUAAGUCAGAAUCCCGCCUAGUGAAGGCAACGAUAAAUUUGCUCCCCGGUGUCGGGAGGCACUUCUAUGUGACUAUUGAAGUUACAGCUAAUGCCCCAUUAUAUGGCCUUACCGAGCGAUUGAAAGGUCGUGCGGUUGCCAAAGCCGGACUACACGGUACAAUGUCGGGCGCAAAAUCACUUGCAGACGACUUUAUUACUGGUCAAGGUGUUGUAUCCAGUAGAGCAGCCUCCAUACUGCGAUCUGUUGAGACUCAUCCUUUGAUUGGACGAUUUGU
rnacentral:rRNA from 1 species